GUGAUCGGCCACACUGGGACUGAGACACGGCCCAGACUCCUACGGGAGGCAGCAGUAGGGAAUUUUCCGCAAUGGACGAAAGUCUGACGGAGCAACGGCGUGAGUGAUGAAGGCUUUCGGGUCGUAAAACUCUGUUUUUAGGGAAGAACAAGUGCUAGUUGAAUAAGCUGGCCCCUUGACGGUACCUAACCAAAAAGCCACGGCUAACUACGUGCCAGCAGCCGCGGUAAUACGUAGGUGGCAAGCGUUUUCCGGAAUUAUUGGGCGUAAAGCCGCGCGCAGGUGGUUUCUUAAGUCUGAUGUGAAAGCCCACGGCUCAACCGUGGAGGGUCAUUGGAAACGGGAGACUUGAGUGCAGAAGAGGAAAGUGGAAUUCCAUGUGUAGCGGUGAAAUGGUAGAGAUAUGGAGGAACACCAGUGGCGAAGGCGACUUUCUGGUUUUGUAACUGACACUGGGCGCGAAAGCGUGGGGAGCAAACAGGAUUAGAAACCCUGGUAGUCCACGCCGUAAACGAUGAGUGCUAAGUGUUAGAGGGUUUCCGCCCUUUAGUGCUGAAGUUAAAGCAUUAAGCACUCCGCCUGGGGAGUACGGCCGCAAGGCUGAAACUCAAAGGAAUUGACGGGGGCCCGCACAAGCGGUGGGGCAUGUGGUUUAAUUCGAAGCAACGCGAAGAACCUUACCAGGUCUUGACAUCCCCUGACAACCCUAGAGAUAGGGCUUCUCCUUCGGGAGCAGAGGGA
rnacentral:rRNA from 1 species